rnacentral:rRNA from 1 species
GAUGAACGCUGGCGGCGUGCCUAACACAUGCAAGUCGAGCGAUUCUCUUCGGAGAAGAGCGGCGGACGGGUGAGUAACGCGUGGGUAACCUGCCCUGUACACACGGAUAACAUACCGAAAGGUAUGCUAAUACGAGAUAAUAUACUUUUAUCACAUGGUAGAAGUAUCAAAGCUUUUGCGGUACAGGAUGGACCCGCGUCUGAUUAGCUAGUUGGUAAGGUAACGGCUUACCAAGGCGACGAUCAGUAGCCGACCUGAGAGGGUGAUCGGCCACAUUGGAACUGAGACACGGUCCAAACUCCUACGGGAGGCAGCAGUGGGGAAUAUUGCACAAUGGGCGAAAGCCUGAUGCAGCAACGCCGCGUGAGUGAUGAAGGCCUUGGUCGUAAGCUCUGUCCUCAAGGAAGAUAAUGACGGUACUUGAGGAGGAAGCCCCGGCUAACUACGUGCCAGCGACGCCGACGGUAAGUGAGUAGUACUACGUAG